GAUGAACGCUGGCGGCGCGCUUAACACAUGCAAGUCGAGCGAGAACCAGUCCUUCGGGACUGGGGACAGCGGCGAACGGGUGAGUAACACGUGGGUAAUCUGCCCUCGGCACCGGAAUAGCCCGGGGAAACCCGGAUUAAUGCCGGAUGGCCUCUCUGCCCCUCGGGGCGGCGAGAAAAGGUAGCUUCGGCCUCCGGCCGAGGAUGAGCCCGCGGCCGAUUAGCUUGUUGGUGAGGUAACGGCGCACCAAGGCGACGAUCGGUAGCUGGUCUGAGAGGACGAUCAGCCACACUGGGACUGAGACACGGCCCAGACUCCGACGGGAGGCAGCAGUGGGGAAUCUUGCGCAAUGGGCGAAAGCCUGACGCAGCGACGCCGCGUGCGGGAAGAAGGCCUUCGGGUUGUAAACCGCUUUCAGGAGGGACGAAGCCACUCGGGUUAAUAGCCCAGAGGGUGACGGUACCUCCAGAAGAAGCCCCGGCUAACUACGUGCCAGCCGCCGCCGUAAGAC
rnacentral:rRNA from 1 species